AUGAGGAUUGUAAGCUGGAACUGCCGGGGACUCGGGAACGGCCCGGCAGUUCGUGGCCUCUUGGACCUCAAGAGGGUGGAGGAUCCCGAUGUUCUGUUCUUGUGUGAGACGAAGUUGUUGGAGAAGGAGUUGGAGCAGUAUUGGUGGAAGCUUGGACUGGCAAACAUGUGUGCAAAAAACUCAUAG
rnacentral:rRNA from 1 species